rnacentral:rRNA from 1 species
ACUGAGACACGGACCAGACUCCUACGGGAGGCAGCAGUGAGGAAUAUUGGUCAAUGGCCGGGAGGCUGAACCAGCCAGGUCGCGUGAGGGAAGACGGCCCUACGGGUUGUAAACCUCUUUUGUCAGGGAGCAAGAGGCGGGUCGAGACCUGCUGUGAGAGUACCUGAAGAAAAAGCAUCGGCUAACUCCGUGCCAGCAGCCGCGGUAAUACGGAGGAUGCGAGCGUUAUCCGGAUUUAUUGGGUUUAAAGGGUGCGCAGGCGGAGGCACAAGUCAGCGGUAAAAUCGCGGGGCUCAACCCCGCUCCGCCGUUGAAACUGUGUCCCUUGAGUGCGCGAAGGGUAGGCGGAAUGCGUGGUGUAGCGGUGAAAUGCAUAGAUAUCACGCAGAACUCCGAUCGCGAAGGCAGCCUACCGGCGCGCAACUGACGCUCAUGCACGAAAGCGUGGGUAUCGAACAGGAUUAGAUACCCUGGUAGUCCACGCAGUAAACGAUGAAUGCUAUCUGUCCGGCCGGAAUGACGGCUGG